GUUUUCGAGAAAAACCUUUCCCUUGACAAAUUAAUGUCUUGUCACCUUUCGUUGACAAUGGCAUGCCAAACGAAUUCUGCGAAGAGACACUUGAAGUAAUUAUAAAUCAAAACGUCUUUUGCUCGAUUGAACCAACGUAACAAAGAAGAAAAUCAAGAAUAUAAACCAAACCAAACCAAACCGAAGCAAAGAGACGAAACGAAAUGAAAAGAAUAGAAAAGAAAAGAGACGAACUGAAGUGAAGCGAGACAACAGAAACUUGGUCAAAUUGCAAUUAUUGUUGCCAUUGUCACUCAUUCAAUACAAACAA